CCUCUUUACUCCCUUUUCUUUUUGACUUAAAUAGAAAUAAAGGAAGAGAAAACAAAAAAUAAAUCCAAGCCCACUGGCAAUAUAACCACAAGCUUUAGCUGUCUACCUGGCAGUUGGCCAAAAAGAUGACUGACUCAAACUUCCCUCUUGUUGGGAGGAUGGGGACAGAGAGGGGUCAGCAGUACUUUAUCAAAGUGAAUUUGAUUUGAGUACUGGCACAA